rnacentral:tRNA from 1 species
ACAUGCAGCUCAGUGAUUAGAGCACUGGUCUUGUAAACCAGGGUUUGUGAGUUCGAUCCUUACUGU